ensembl:rRNA 5S_rRNA 5S ribosomal RNA
GUCUACUGCCCUACCACCCUGAAAGCGCCCCAUCUCAUUUGAUCUUGGAAGCUAAGCAGUGCUGGGCCUGGUGAGUAGUUGGAU